GUUACCUACGGGGCGCAGCAGUGGGGGAUAUUGCACAAUGGGGGCAACCCUGAUGCAGCGACGCCGCGUGAGCGAUGGAGUACUUCGGUAUGUAAAGCUCUGUCAGCAGGGAAGAGAAUGACGGUACCUGACCAAGAAGCCCCGGCUAAAUACGUGCCAGCAGCCGCGGUAAUACGUAUGGGGCAAGCGUUAUCCGGAUUUAUUGGGUUUAAAGGGUGCGUAGGCGGUCUGUUAAGUCAGCGGUAAAAUUGCGGGGCUCAACCCCGUCGAGCCGUUGAAACUGGCAGACUUGAGUUGGCGAGAAG
rnacentral:rRNA from 1 species